rnacentral:rRNA from 1 species
UACGUAGGGUGCGAGCGUUAAUCGGAAUUACUGGGCGUAAAGCGUGCGCAGGCGGCUCCUUAAGUCAGAUGUGAAAUCCCCAGGCUCAACCUGGGAACUGCAUUCGAAACUGCCAGCCUUGAGUGGUGGAGAGGGAAGUGGAAUUCCUGGUGUAGAGGUGAAAUUCGUAGAUAUUCGGAAGAACACCAGUGGCGAAGGCGGCUCACUGGACCGCUGUUGACGCUGAGGUGCGAAAGCGUGGGGAGCAAACAGG